GAGACGGAGGCGGAGACUGGACUCAGGCCUGGGACGCCGCCCAGCUGGAGCUGCGAGUCCGCGGAGUCCUGCUCGACAGAGUCCAGUGGACGCAGCUGGCGGAGGAGACCGGCAGCUGGCUCACCAGGCUGCGGACCAGUAAACAAGAGGAUUCCAGUAGCACAUGUCGUCAUGUUGCGCUAUGCCAAAUGCAGAGCAGCCUCAGCCAAAAUUUCGGACUCAUUGGAAGACUCGUUGCAAAGCUCGUAAGGUGGUAUACAUCACCAGAUACAUCUGGCGUUGGGAAAGCGACUAAGCACGAGGACUCAGACUGUUUUACCGAUAAGUGGGAGUGUAAAGUCAAGUAGAGAUGUGCCACGCUUAGACGUUGGAGACAGUGCUGAAGAUAUUUCGCGUGCUAA